UACGUAGGGUGCGAGCGUUAAUCGGAAUUACUGGGCGUAAAGGGCGCGUAGGCGGCCUUCUAAGUCGAACGUGAAAUCCCCGGGCUCAACCCGGGAACUGCGUCCGAUACUGGAAGGCUUGAAUCCGGGAGAGGGAUGCGGAAUUCCAGGUGUAGCGGUGAAAUGCGUAGAUAUCUGGAGGAACACCGGUGGCGAAGGCGGCAUCCUGGACCGGCAUUGACGCUGAGGCGCGAGAGCCAGGGGAGCCAACGGG
rnacentral:rRNA from 1 species